AUCUACGUAGAAGCGGUGCAUCGGGGUGGAGUUUCUUCUCCAUCUUUCACUCACAGGAUAAAAAAUAUCAGAAAAUAAGAGACCUCCCCCGAUCUUAAAGAAACUUCAACGCCGUCUUCAUAAUAUCCUGUCUACUCCAUUUUCUCUUGAUUUUUCAAGUUAUUACUUCUUUAAUUUCUACCCAAAUUCACCAUUAUUAUAUGAUUUAUUAAUUUGGUACUUGCUUUCACUUUUUUAACCCGUAGAAUUUCUCCAACAUCAAUCUUCAAUUUUCCAGCUCCAAUUUCGUCCAAUUUAGUAAUGGGCAGAUGUUAACAUGAAGCAAAUACAAGUUUAUUGUGGUGGAAUGAGUUCAAGUCUAGGCAUCCCUAAUCUUCAAGGAUGAAGGAAGGUUUGAAGUACAACCUUAGAACCACAUGCUCCAGCCUUCUCUAGACCAUUAUUUGGUCUGAUUCUGGCGUUUCGCUGCUGUCCAAACUGUUGUUGAGCUCAGUUUCUGAUUUUGGCUUUUGUUAGGCUUUUUCCUUUUCUAAAUUCUAACUUUGUGCAACGAGGUAUGUUCUUCGCAAAAUUAUUCCUAGAUCUAUUUGGUUAUGGAAUCAUUGUUGUUAUUUAGUUCGUUUGUUGUUCUUAUAUAGAUUUAUUUGUUACAUUUAAUUUCACACAAUGAGGGGAAUAUUACU
rnacentral:lncRNA from 1 species